GACGAACGCUGGCGGCGUGCUUAACACAUGCAAGUCGAACGGUAAGGCCCUGCUUGCGUGGGGUGCUCGUGUCGCGAGCGUGUGAGAAACGCGUGUGUAAUCCGCCCUUGUCUUUGGGAUAUCUUGAGGAAACUGGGGCUUACUCCGGAUAGGAGCUCCUGCUGCAUGGGGGGGUUUGGAGAUUUUCGGCGGGUGGGGGUGGACUCGCGGCUUAUCAGCUUGUUGGUGGGGUAGUGGCCUACCAAGGCUUUGACGGGUAGCCGGCCUGAGAGGGUGACCGGCCACACUGGGACUGAGACACGGCCCAGACUCCUACGGGAGGCAGCAGUGGGGAAUAUUGCACAAUGGGCGGAAGCCUGAUGCAGCAACGCCGCGUGCGGGAUGACGGCCUUCGGGUUGUAAACCGCUUUCGGCUGUGACGAAGCAUUAGUGACGGUAAGGGCUGAAGAAGCACCGGCUAACUACGUG
rnacentral:rRNA from 1 species